GACAGAGGGUGCAAACGUUGUUCGGAAUUAUUGGGCGUAAAGAGCUCGUAGGCGGUUUGGCAAGUCGGAUGUGAAAGCUCCGGGCUCAACCCGGAGACGCCAUUCGAUACUGCCAUGACUAGAGUCCGGUAGGGGGGUGUGGAAUUCCCAGUGUAGCGGUGAAAUGCGCAGAUAUCAGGAGGAACACCGAUGGCGAAGGCAGCUCGCUGGGACGGUACUGACGCUGAGGCGCGAAAGCGUGGGGAGCAAACAGG
rnacentral:rRNA from 1 species